rnacentral:rRNA from 1 species
UACGUAGGUGGCAAGCGUUGUCCGGAUUUACUGGGCGUAAAGAGCGCGCAGGCGGUCGUUCAAGUCGCGUGUGAAAGCCCCCGGCUCAACUGGGGAGGGUCACGCGAUACUGAUCGACUCGAAGGCAGGAGAGGGAAGUGGAAUUCCCCGGUGUAGUGGUGAAAUGCGCAGAUAUCAGGAAGAACACCUAUGGCGAAGGCAGCUCUCUGGGACGGUACUGACGCUGAGACGCGAAAGCGUGGGAGCGAACAGG